UACUUGCUUUUACAAGGCGAAACCGCGAAUGGCUCAUUAAAUCAGUUAUGGUUCACUAGAUCGUACAGUUUACAUGGAUAACUGUGGUAAUUCUAGAGCUAAUACAUGCACCCAGUCCGUUCCCUCGUGGAGCGGAUGCAGUUAUUUGCCCAAAACCAAUCCGGCCUUCGGGUCGGUCAAUUGGUGACUCUGAAUAACCGAAGCGGAGCGCAUGGUCUCGUACCGGCGCCAGAUCUUUCAAGUGUCUGACUUAUCAGCUUGUUGUUAGGUUAUGUUCCUAACAAGGCAUCAACGGGUAACGGAGUGUCAGGGCCCGACACCGGAGAGGGAGCCUGAGAAACGGCUACCACAUCCAAGGAAGGCAGCAGGCGCGCAAAUUACCCACUCCCGGCACGGGGAGGUAGUGACGAAAAAUAACGAUGCGAGAGCUUUAUGCUCCUCGUAAUCGGAAUGGGUACACUUUAAAUCCUUUAACGAGGAUCUAUUGGAGGGCAAGUCUGGUGCCAGCAGCCGCGGUAAUUCCAGCUCCAAUAGCGUAUAUUAAAGUUGCUGCGGUUAAAAAGCUCGUAGUUGGAUCUGGGUAGUCGAUGGACGGUGCGCUUUACGGCGUCUACUGUUCGUUCGGCACCACAUGCCGGCCAUGUCUUGCAUGCUCUUCACUGAGUGUGCUUGGCGACCGGAACGUUUACUUUGAAAAAAUUAGAGUGCUCAAAGCAGGCGUUAAGCCUUGCAUAAUGGUGCAUGGAAUAAUAGAAUAGGACCUCGGUUCUAUUUUGUUGGUUUUCGGAGCUCGAGGUAAUGAUUAAUAGGAACAGACGGGGGCAUUCGUAUUGCGGCGUUAGAGGUGAAAUUCUUGGAUCGUCGCAAGACGCA
rnacentral:rRNA from 1 species